CCCUUUCUGCAGCAUAAUGUAUACUCAGACCAACAUCCGUGAGUUAGGUAUAGGCAACAAGUAGCACUACAGUUGCAAUGUGUAAGUGAUCAACUAACAGAAAUUAGGUUGGCAUAGUGCAUCUAUUUCCCAACAUCUCACACGUACCUUAGUAAAUAUUUCAAUUUAUAGCAUGCAUUUACAUAUUGCAAGAACAAUAGUUCUAGUACCAUGGAAUUCUUUACAAACCCUUAGAUUCCCA